rnacentral:misc_RNA from 3 species
CACCACUCAAGCCUCGCUUGGUAUUGGGCAACGCGGUCCGCCGCGUGCCUCAAAUCGACCGGCUGGGUCUUCUGUCCCCUAAGCGUUGUGGAAACUAUUCGCUAAAGGGUGUUCGGGAGGCUACGCCGUAAAACAACCCCAUUUCUAA